AGAGUUUGAUCAUGGCUCAGAUUGAACGCUGGCGGCAGGCUUAACACAUGCAAGUCGAGCGGGGAAGAGUAGCUUGCUACUUUACCUAGCGGCGGACGGGUGAGUAAUGCUUAGGAAUCUGCCUAUUAGUGGGGGACAACAUCUCGAAAGGGAUGCUAAUACCGCAUACGUCCUACGGGAGAAAGCAGGGGACCUUCGGGCCUUGCGCUAAUAGAUGAGCCUAAGUCGGAUUAGCUAGUUGGUGGGGUAAAGGCCUACCAAGGCGACGAUCUGUAGCGGGUCUGAGAGGAUGAUCCGCCACACUGGGACUGAGACACGGCCCAGACUCCUACGGGAGGCAGCAGUGGGGAAUAUUGGACAAUGGGGGGAACCCUGAUCCAGCCAUGCCGCGUGUGUGAAGAAGGCCUUUUGGUUGUAAAGCACUUUAAGCGAGGAGGAGGCUACCGAGAUUAAUACUCUUGGAUAGUGGACGUUACUCGCAGAAUAAGCACCGGCUAACUCUGUGCCAGCAGCCGCGGUAAUACAGAGGGUGCGAGCGUUAAUCGGAUUUACUGGGCGUAAAGCGCGCGUAGGCGGCCAAUUAAGUCAAAUGUGAAAUCCCCGAGCUUAACUUGGGAAUUGCAUUCGAUACUGGUUGGCUAGAGUAUGGGAGAGGAUGGUAGAAUUCCAGGUGUAGCGGUGAAAUGCGUAGAGAUCUGGA
rnacentral:rRNA from 1 species